AAUGGAAGCUGAGUUCGUAUUUUGUUUGAGACUACAUCACAUGGUGUAUGAAUGAAGAGUUUCAAUUAUGGGUUGAAAAUUGUAGAUUCAAUCUUUGACCACUAAAGAUGUAUUGUGACAAUUCAGUUGCGGUUUUAUGGCUAAGAAUCUCAAAAGUGAAAGUCGAAUUAAGUAUAUUGACAUUAAGUACUUAGCCGUAUAAGUCGAAUUAAAUAU
rnacentral:lncRNA from 1 species